rnacentral:rRNA from 1 species
GACGAACGCUGGCGGCGUGCUUAACACAUGCAAGUCGUGCGGUAAGGCCCUUUCGGGGGUACACGAGCGGCGAACGGGUGAGUAACACGUGAGCAACCUGCCCUUCACUUUGGGAUAACUGCCGGAAACGGUGGCUAAUACCGGAUAUGACUUCCUCACGCAUGUGGGGUGGUGGAAAGCCUUCGGGUGGUGGGGGAUGGGCUCGCGGCCUAUCAGCUUGUUGGUGGGGGGAUGGCCUACCAAGGCUCCGACGGGUAGCCGGCCUGGGAGGGUGACCGGCCACACUGGGACUGAGACACGGCCCAGACUCCUACGGGAGGCAGCAGUGGGGAAUAUUGGACAAUGGGCGAAAGCCUGAUCCAGCAACGCCGCGUGAGGGAUGACGGCCUUCGGGUUGUAAACCUCUUUCGCCUGCGACGAAGCGAGAGUGACGGUAGCAGGUAAAGAAGCACCGGCCAACUACGUG